rnacentral:rRNA from 1 species
CCUACGGGAGGCAGCAGUGAGGAAUAUUGGUCAAUGGACGCUAGUCUGAACCAGCCAUGCCGCGUGCAGGAAGACGGCUCUAUGAGUUGUAAACUGCUUUUGUACGAGGGUAAACGCAGAUACGCGUAUCUGUCUGAAAGUAUCGUACGAAUAAGGAUCGGCUAACUCCGUGCCAGCAGCCGCGGUAAUACGGAGGAUUCAAGCGUUAUCCGGAUUUAUUGGGUUUAAAGGGUGCGUAGGCGGUCGGAUAAGUUAGUGGUGAAAUCCCGAGGCUCAACUUCGGAAUUGCCUCUGAUACUGUCCGGCUAGAGAGUAGUAGCGGUAGGCGGAAUGUAUGGUGUAGCGGUGAAAUGCUUAGAGAUCAUACAGAACACCGAUUGCGAAGGCAGCUUACCAAGCUACUUCUGACGUUGAGGCACGAAAGCGUGGGGAGCAAACAGGAUUAGAUACCCCUGUAGUC